rnacentral:rRNA from 1 species
CCGGGAUCGGGCCCUCCGGGCCCGAAGCUCUCACCCUUUUGUGUACCGCACCCCUGUUGCUUUGGCGGGCCCGCUGGGGAGACCCACCGCCGGCUGACGAGCCGGCGAGCGCCCGCCAGAGACCCCCAAAACCCCGUUUGUCGGUGACGUCUGAGUCCCACACAAUCGUUAAAACUUUCAACAACGGAUCUCUUGGCUCUGGCAUCGAUGAAGAACGCAGCGAAAUGCGAUAAGUAAUGUGAAUUGCAGAAUUCAGUGAAUCAUCGAAUCUUUGAACGCACAUUGCGCCCCCCGGCAUUCCGGGGGGCAUGCCUGUUCGAGCGUCAUUACACCCCUCAAGCUCCGCUUGGUGUUGGGCCCCGUCCCCCGGGACGGGCCCGAAAGUAAGUGGCGGCGCGGCCUGACUUCGAGCGUAGUAGCCUAAAACCCGCUCCGGAAGCCCUUCAGGUCGCCCGGCCAGACAACCUCACUGUACACGCUACGGUUGACU